GUCCCAGCCGUAAACGAUGCUCACCAGGUGUGGGAGGUAUCGACCCCUUCCGCGCCGACGCUAACGCAUUAAGUGAGCCGCCUGGGGAGUACGGCCGCAAGGUUGAAACUCAAAGGAAUUGACGGGGGCCCGCACAAGCGGUGGAUCAUGUGGUUUAAUUCGACGCAACGCGAAGAACCUUACCUGGGCUUGAACCGCUGGUAGUAGAAUCCUGGAAACAGGAGACGAACCGUCAAGUCGGAUGCCAGUAGAGGUGCUGCAUGGCUGUCGU
rnacentral:rRNA from 1 species